rnacentral:rRNA from 1 species
AUUGAACGCUGGCGGCAGGCCUAACACAUGCAAGUCGAACGAGUGGCGGACGGGUGAGUAAUGUCUGGGAAACUGACCGAUGGAGGGGGAUAACUACUGGAAACGGUAGCUAAUACCGCAUACCAUCGGAUGGGUCAAGAUGGGAUUAGCUGGUAGGGGGGGUAACGGCUCACCUAGGCGACGAUCCCUAGCUGGGCUGAGAGGUGGACCAGCCACACUGGAAAUGAGAAACGUGCCAGACUCCUACGGGAGGCAGCAGUGGUGAAUAUUGCACAAUGGGCGCAAGCCUGAGGCAGCCAUGCCGCGUGUAUGAAGAAGGCCGUCGGGUGUUAAAGUACUUUCAGCGAGUAGGCGUUACUCGCAGAAGAAGCACCGGCUAACUCCGUGCCAGCAGCCGCGGUAAUUC